AAGCAUAAGGCCUCCGAGGCCCGUAGUAAGCCUGAACCACUAAGAUUCAACUAUAUCAAUAUGAAUUUUAAACAUUCAGCCCAUAUUGCCAUGCAUAAUAAAUCUCAUAAUUAUAUUAUACUUGGCAAUAUGGGCUGAAUGUUUUAUAAUUCAUAUUGAUAUGGUUGAAUUUUAGUAGUUCAGGCUUACUACGGGCCUCGGAGGCCUUAUGCUU
rnacentral:pre_miRNA from 1 species